ACCAGAGGGUAAGCGGUGAGUUCCAGCGGUUACCCGUGAGCCCGUUUCAGUAACGAGGGCAGAAAACCAUCAGGUGAGGAGGAGAGGAACGCGGCAGAGAGGUCGUUUAGCAACCCGGGAGGGCAGCGGGACCGUGCGCCCGUGUCAGCGGGUCGCAGGGACGGAGCCGGGCCGGCGCUUCGGCCGCCCCGACGGGCUCCGCUCAGGGCAACCGCUCCCGUCCCGUCCGGGUCCGGGCUGGCAGUACCCGCGGAGACAGCGCCCGAGGAGACGGGCGAAGGCUGAGGAGCUUUAGGAUGAAGGAAACCCGACACCUCCGACAACACCCGCGCAGAAGUUUGGAGGGAAGGUUGGCGGGGCGCGGACCGAAAGGAGGGGAGAGGCGCGCAACAAUGGGAAACACCGAAGGGCCGGGAGGAAGGAGCGGUGCGGAGGUAGAAGAAGCGAGGUGGGGGAAGGGGACGUCCGCGCGGGGAGAAAGAGGAGCGGGGACGGCCGGCAGACAAAGGGCGCGGGAUGCGGGUCCUUACCUGCAGGCUUCUGUGUGCAAAUGCCCGACAAACAUCACCAAGUGAGGAAUGCAUCAAACUGCAGAAUUUCUAAAAGAGAAAAGGAUGGGAAAAAGGCGAGUAACUUCAAGCAUCAACAGACGUGAGGCAAAGCUCAUUGUAAUAACAGCUGGAGGCAUCCUGGUCCUUACUUUUGUCAGUUUGAGAUUAACAGAGCAUUUCACACUUGGGUUGAAGGCAGCACAGGGGAGCUCCAAAGCAAUCCUAAACUGAGCCAAGAUAAAGCUUCCUGAAGAGCAUCAAGGUAGAACUGCUCCACCUCCGUUCCCAGAGGUGCCAAAUGUUUCUUCCAGCUCCAGUGAUUAAUGCGUAUUACUUCGUAAGAAGAAUUUGCAACUUCUCGGAAUGCCAACCAGAAAGCAAAAACAAUGGCGUCUUCUUCUCCGCUCCCCCCAGCAAAAGAAAAUAAAAACGCAAAAGAAAUACAUCAAAUGCACAGUGAGAGAAUUAGAAAGAGUUAUACGAGCCUUCAUGUGGUUCAUCUGUUUACAGAGGUCAAUUAAAUUGUAGGUAUUUUCCAUCGCACCACGUAAAAAUAAUUUUCAAGCAUUUGGGAAACGGGGUG